CUCGAUACUAACACUUUUAGUAAAUAUAUACUUGAAAUUUCCUCAAGUCUCUGUAUUCCUUUCAUGGGUUGGCUCAGUUAAGCCAAGACUGGACUAAUUCUUUGCAUCUUCAUCGCUUUGCAUUAUAUGCAGCAACAUCCUGAUGUCAAGCCGAUGGCAUAUGCGAACAACUUCCUUAGAAUGUUCUCUUAAACCUGAAACCUAACUUGCAGUAUUACAAUUGAUGCAACCUUUUGUCUCACUGACCAAGUGCAUAAACAUCAGGAGGCAGAAGAGUUAGUAACAUACA
rnacentral:lncRNA from 1 species